CUUCUCUUUUCUUCCUCCUCCCGUCAUUUGUUUCCUUGUGCGUGCGAACUGCACCUCCUGUACUCGUUCUAAUAUCAAGUAAAAUGCCACGGCGCCGUGAAUCACAUUUGCGAAUAAACCUGCGGACCAUAAAUCAAGUCGCGCGUAACGUCGAAAGAAUCAUCUGCAAAAAUAUGGGUGCAACACGAGGACCUCCCAAGAAAAUGGGUGAAAUAU
rnacentral:lncRNA from 1 species